rnacentral:rRNA from 1 species
AAGUCGUAACAAGGUUUCCGUAGGUGAACCUGCGGAAGGAUCAUUCAUAAUAAGUGUUUUAUGGCACUUUUUAAAUCCAUAUCCACCUUGUGUGCAAUGUCAGUCGAUCUUCUUCAUGGAGAUCGACCAAACAUCAACCUUAUCUUUUAACUCUUUGUCUGAAAAAUAUUAUGAAUAAACAAUUCAAAAUACAACUUUCAACAACGGAUCUCUUGGCUCUCGCAUCGAUGAAGAACGCAGCGAAAUGCGAUACGUAAUGUGAAUUGCAGAAUUCAGUGAACCAUCGAAUCUUUGAACGCACAUUGCGCCCGCCAGUAUUCUGGCGGGCAUGCCUGUUCGAGCGUCAUUUCAACCCUCAAGCCCCCGGGCUUGGUGUUGGGGAUCGGCACAAGGCGCUGGCACCUCCGGGAGCCGCGCCCGCCGUCCCCCAAAUUCAGUGGCGGUUCACGCCGUGUGUACCUCAGCGUAGUAGCAACACCUCGCUCCGGGACCCUCCUGUGAACCACGCCGUAAAACCCCCGACUUUCUUCUGGUUGACCUCGAAUCAGGUAGGACUACCCGCUGAACUUAA